AAAGUUUGACAGACAAUCGCCGGCGGCUGAAGAGCCGCGGGAGGAAAGUCCGGGCUCCAUAGGGCAGGGUGCUGGAUAACGUCCAGUCAGCGCGAGUUGAAGGAUAGUGCCACAGAAAUGGACCGCCGAUGGCCGCCGCAAGGCGUGCACAGGCAAGGAUGGAACCGAGGUGUAAGAGACCCCGAGGAACGCUGGUGACUUCGUUCCUGGUAAACCCCACUUGGAGCAAGACCUAAUGGGACGCAGCUUCUUUGCGAAGCGGCCUUUGCCCGAGGCGCGUCCGGGUUGGUUGCUGGAGCCGCCCAGUAAUGUGCGGCCUAGAUAGAUGAUUGUCACUCAACGCGGGAGGGUUGUUCCCGUUCUACCGCAACGAGUACAGAACCCGGCUUACGGCAAACUUUCAAC
rnacentral:RNase_P_RNA from 1 species